rnacentral:rRNA from 1 species
AUUGAACGCUGGCGGCAGGCUUAACACAUGCAAGUCGAGCGAGCGGCGGACGGGUGUGUAAUGUCUGGGAAACUGCCUGAUGGAGGGGGAUCACUUCUGGAAACGGUAGCUUAUACCGUAUACCCUCAUGUGUGCCCAGAUGGGAUUAGCUAGUAGGUGGGGUAAUGGCUCACCUAGGCGACGAUCCCUAGCUGGUCUGAGAGGAUGACCAGCCACACUGGGACGGAGACACGGUCCAGACUCCUACGGGAGGCAGCAGUGGGGAAUAUUGCACAAUGGGCGCAAGCCUGAUGCAGCCAUGCCGCGUGUGUGAAGAAGGCCUUCGGGUUGUAAAGCACUUUCAGCGAGGAGGCGUUACUCGCAGAAGAAGCACCGGCUAACUCCGUGCCAGCAGCCGCGGUAAUUC